UGAGUAACCUGCCCUUAACUCUGGGAUAAGCCUGGGAAACUGGGUCUAAUACCGGAUAUGACUCCUCAUCGCAUGGUGGGGGGUGGAAAGCUUUAUUGUGGUUUUGGAUGGACUCGCGGCCUAUCAGCUUGUUGGUGAGGUAAUGGCUCACCAGGGCGACGACGGGUAGCCGGCCUGAGAGGGUGACCGGCCACACUGGGACUGAGACACGGCCCAGACUCCUACGGGAGCAG
rnacentral:rRNA from 1 species